CAGCAAAGAGUCCUGUGGCACCGUAUAGACUAACAGACAUAUUGGAGCAUGAGCUUUCGUGGGUGAAUACCCACUUCGUCAUCUCUUUGCUGCUAGUACACAGGGCUAAGUAGCUAAGAAAGGAAAUAUGACCUCUUCCCAGGAACAUCAACCAAAAUUCGGACUGCAAUAAAUGUUGGGGUUUGUUCACAAGUGAGCAUUUCUCAAGCUUGCUCAGCUCCAAUCUGGAUGUGAUUUGUUUUGCCACUUUGGAAAUGCUUGGCUGAUUCAGUCCUAAGGAAUUAAAGCUCCAAAGGCUGACAUACUAAAACAUAAGGCCAAAAACAUGUUUCACGAGAGCAGUUAAAAACUGAAAGGAUGGAAAGAACCUGGCAAAAUCUAAGAUUGGAUGCAUCCUAGAAUGUUGAACCAACAGCCGAGAUGCUAGUGAUAACAUUUCACAAACCCCAGAAAUCUGGGUUUUCACUGAAUGCAGAAGACAGGAAAGAGGAUUCUGAAGAAUGAAUCCAUCCAAGAGUUUUGUAAUGAUUGAUAAAAAAAAAAAAUCAAAAGAAAGUUCACGCAGAAAUUUCACACCUGCAAAGGUUUCAACGCUUCUCCUAUCGUCUCCGUCCCAGAGGCUAGCGCAGAUAAGAAGGUGAAAAAAAUGCACUCACGAUGAAAUGUUCUCUGAGCUCAUGCACUGAAAGAGCUUGGCAAAAUGCAUGGAGGCAGACAAUGUCAGAGUCCAGGAAAGCACAAAAUGAAUGCAAGGACAGGAGGCUGGAGCAAGAGGAGAGGUGGUGGCAGCGUGAUGAGGCAGGAGGCAAUGCUGAGGCUACUGGAGGAUCAAACUGAUAUGCUCCGGCAUAUAGUUGAGCUGCAGGAAAGGCAGCAGGAGCACAGACUGCUGCUUCAGCCCGUGUAACCGAUCGCCCACCUCCCCAAGUUCCAUAGCUUCCUCACCCAGAUGCCCAAGAAUGCGGGGAGGGGGGCUCUGGGCACCCAACCACUCCACCUAAGAGGACUGCCCAAGCAACAGAAGGCUGGCAUUCAAUAAGUUUUGAAGUGCAGUGUCGUCCUGUCCUUCCCUCCUCCCCUUCUUCCCCCAUCCCACCUGGUGCUUCCCUCCUCCUCCACCCCUCCUGGGCUACCUUGGCAGUUAUCCGCCUAUUUGU